AGCAGCCGCGGUAAUUCCAGCUCCAAUAGCGUAUAUUAAAGUUGUUGCAGUUAAAAAGCUCGUAGUUGAAUUUCGGGGUUAGUAGGUCGGUCAUGCCUCAGGUAUGCACUGGUCUCACUGAUUCCUCCUUCCUGAUGAGCCGUAAUGCCAUUAAUUUGGUGUUGCGGGGAAUCUGGACUGUUACUUUGAAAAAAUUAGAGUGUUUAAAGCAGGCUAACGCUUGAAUACAUUAGCAUGGAAUAAUGGAAUAGGACGUUCGAUCCUAUUUUGUUGGUUUCUAGGAUUGACGUAAUGAUUAAUAGGGAUAGUUGGGGGCAUUAGUAUUCAAUUGUCAGAGGUGAAAUUCUUGGAUUUAUUGAAGACUAACUACUGCGAAAGCAUUUGCCAAGGAUGUUUUCAUUAAUCAAGAACGAAAGUUAGGGGAUCGAAGACGAUCAGAUACCGUCGUAGUCUUAACCAUAAACUAUGCCGACUAGGGAUCGGAUGAUGUUAAUUUUUUAAUGUA
rnacentral:rRNA from 1 species